rnacentral:lncRNA from 1 species
UUCACUAUCUCCCACUAAAGGGAACCAUGUGGGGAUGCGAAGGAGCGCAUAGGUCGACUUAAAGUUUCGUUCAUCAUGGGUACCUUACCCGAUGUUAACGCGCCCCUCACUAGGUUU